CACAUACUCCCUCCAUUCAGAAUUACUUGUCUUGGAAAUGGAUGUAUCUAGAACUAAAAUACGUCUAGAUAUAUCCAUUUUCGCGACAAGUAAUUCCGAACAGAGGGAGUACAUG
rnacentral:pre_miRNA from 1 species